rnacentral:rRNA from 1 species
ACGUGGGGGAUAACGUAGGGAAACUUACGCUAAUACCAUACGUCUACGGGAGAAAGCAGGGGACUUUCGGGCCCUUGCGCGGUCAGACGGACCGAUUCGAUUAGCUAGUUGGUGAGGUAAUGGCCUACCAAGGCGACGAUCUGUAGCUGGUCUGAGGACGACCAGCCACACUGGGACUGAGACACGGCCCAGACUCCUACGGGAGGCAGCAGGGGAAUUUUGGACAAUGGGCGCAAGCCUGAUCCAGCAAUGCCGCGUGUGUGAAGAAGCUUCGGGUUGUAAAGCACUUUUGUCCGGAAAGAAAACGCCGUGGUUAAUACCCGUGGCAUGACGGUACCGGAAGAAUAAGCACCGGCUAACUACGUGCCAGCAGCCGCGGUAAUACAGGGUGCAAGCGUUAAUCGGAAUUACUGGGCGUAAAGCGUGCGCAGGCGGUCCGCUAACAGAUGUGAAAUCCCCGGGCUUAACCUGGGAACUGCAUUUGUGACUGGCGGGCUAGAGUGGCAGAGGGGGGUAGAAUUCCACGUGUAGCAGUGAAAUGCGUAGAGAUGUGGAGGAACCGAUGGCGAAGGCAGCCCCCUGGGCCAAUACUGACGCUCAUGCACGAAAGCGUGGGGCAAACAGGAUUAGAUACCCUGGUAGUCCACGCCCUAAACGAUGUCAACUAGUUGUCGG